rnacentral:rRNA from 1 species
UGGGGAAUAUUGGACAAUGGGGGGAACCCUGAUCCAGCAAUGCCGCGUGGGUGAAGAAGGCCUUCGGGUUGUAAAGCUCUUUCAGCAGGGAAGAAAAGCUCGUGCCUAACAGGAGCGAGUGCUGACGGUACCUGCAGAAGAAGCACCGGCUAACUCCGUGCCAGCAGCCGCGGUAAUACGGAGGGUGCAAGCGUUAAUCGGAAUUACUGGGCGUAAAGGGCGCGUAGGCGGCUGUUUAAGUCGGGUGUGAAAGCCCCGGGCUCAACCUGGGAAUUGCAUUCGAUACUGGAUGGCUGGAGUGUGGUAGAGGGAAGCGGAAUUCCGGGUGUAGCGGUGAAAUGCGUAGAUAUCCGGAGGAACAUCAGUGGCGAAGGCGGCUUCCUGGACCAACACUGACGCUGAGGCGCGAAAGCGUGGGGAGCAAACAGGAUUAGAUACCCCCGUAGUCC